ACCUUACCCUGCUGGGAUGUAUCCCGGAAACUAUUUCAGCCUCAAACCGUGCAAAGAACGCACUUCCUGCAGAAUGGUAAUAGAAUAUUGCUGGCAGGACGCAUACCCAUCUUCACGAGUUCAGACAAAGGGUCCCAGUCCCAAAAGUAUUUCUCUCUCCAUGGAUGUUGGCUGACCAGGCUGUUCCCAGAGAAGAGCACCAAGGUGAAUAUCAAGUGCUGCUGGAUAAUCAUUAACUCAGUGGAAGAAACUCUUUGGUCUUUAUGAAACAUAUCGUGUUUCCAACAUGAUGCGAUAUCCCUAAGGGAAUGCUGCUUUCGGGAACAUUCUAGGCUGUAGCAGUAUGUGCAGAGUGAUGAACUGAAGCUCGGUCCAGCCAACGCAGAGGCUUUGUGGGCAAGAACCACAGUCUAAGUUCCUUACGCUACUACACAUUUUAGUUGGGGAUGUCCCUUCAACA